rnacentral:rRNA from 1 species
AGUGGCGGACGGGUGAGUAACGCGUGGGUAACCUGCCCUAUAGAGGGGGAUAACGUUUGGAAACGAACGCUAAUACCGCAUAAACUAUGGAUAGUCGCAUGACUAUUAUAGUAAAGAUUUAUCGCUAUAGGAUGGACCCGCGUUGGAUUAGCUAGUUGGUGAGAUAACAGCCCACCAAGGCGACGAUCCAUAGCCGGCCUGAGAGGGUGAACGGCCACAUUGGGACUGAGACACGGCCCAAACUCCUACGGGAGGCAGCAGUGGGGAAUAUUGCACAAUGGGCGAAAGCCUGAUGCAGCGACGCCGCGUGAAGGAUGAAGGUCUUCGGAUUGUAAACUUCUAUCAGCAGGGAAGAAUAAAUGACGGUACCUGACUAAGAAGCUCCGGCUAACUACGUGCCAGCAGCCGCGGUAAUACGUAGGGAGCGAGCGUUAUCCGGAUUUACUGGGUGUAAAGGGUGCGUAGGCGGUUUGUUAAGUCAGAAGUGAAAUUUAGGGGCUCAACCUCUAAGCUGCUUCUGAAACUGAUGAACUAGAGUGUGGGAGAGGAAAGUGGAAUUCCGAGUGUAGCGGUGAAAUGCGUGGAGAUUCGGAGGAACACCAGUAGCGAAGGCGGCUUUCUGGACCAUAACUGACGCUGAGGCACGAAAGCGUGGGGAGCAAACAGGAUUAGAUACCCUGGUAGUCCACGCCGUAAACAAUGGGUGCUAGGUGUCGGGGCUCACGGGCUUCGGUGCCGAAGUUAACACAUUAA